rnacentral:lncRNA from 1 species
GUGAUUAUGGAGUAUAUUGAAAUAGUAUGUCAUGUUAUUGCUUUAAUAGUAUAGAUGUUGUUACAGUGGUAUCAAAGUAGAUUCAGGUACGAUCCUAUCCCUUGAUUUUAAGAUCAUUGUCUUUCUUUAUAUCGUCUUUACAUUAUAUUUGAGCUCAGUCGGCCGAUGAUGCCUACUGAGUACCAGUGUUUUGGUACUCAUACUACACUUCUGUACCUUUUUGGUGCAGGCCUAGGUUCUAGUUGCCGCUGUUGAGCUAGUUCGUACGAGUUGACUAUUCGGAGACAGGGUGAGCUCUUGGGGAUCGAGUUGCCCUCUAUCCCUUCUAUCCUUAUUUGUCUUUUGCUUUCGAGACAAAUGUAUGAGAUUGUUUAAAGCAUUUUAGAUUCUGAGAUUGUAAAGUCCUCUUGUCAAGUUUAGAAGCUCUUGUAUUAAUACUAUCAGGUCGUGGGAUUUGUGUUUGAAUAUCGAUUGUCCUUAGUUGUGAAAUGUUGUUGUUAUAU